rnacentral:rRNA from 1 species
CAGUAGCCGCGGGAAUACGUAGGGUGCAAGCGUUAAUCGGAAUUACUGGGCGUAAAGCGUGCGCAGGCGGUUUGUUAAGACAGAUGUGAAAUCCCCGGGCUUAACCUGGGAACUGCAUUUGAAACUGGCAAGCUAGAGUCUUGUAGAGGGGGGUAGAAUUCCAGGUGUAGCGGUGAAAUGCGUAGAGAUCUGGAGGAAUACCGGCGGCGAAGGCGGCCCCCUGGACAAAGACUGACGCUCAUGCACGAAAGCGUGGGGAGCAAACAGGAUUAGAUACCCCUGUAGUCCCUGUCUCUUAUAA